AUUGAACGCUGGCGGCAGGCCUAACACAUGCAAGUCGCGCGGAUGACGGGAGCUUGCUCCUUGAUUCAGCGGCGGACGGGUGAGUAAUGCCUAGGAAUCUGCCUGGUAGUGGGGGACAACGUUUCGAAAGGAAUGCUAAUUCCGCAUACGUCCUACGGGAGAAAGCAGGGGAUCUUCGGACCUUGCGCUUAUAGACGACCCUAAGUCGGAUUAGCUCGUUGGUGUGGUAAAGGCCUCCCAAGGGGACGAUCUGUGGCGGGUCUGAGAGGAAGAUCCGCCACACUGGGACUGAGACACGGCCCAGACUCCUACGGGAGGCAGCAGUGGGGAAUAUUGGACAAUGGGCGAAAGCCUGAUCCAGCCAUGCCGCGUGUGUGAAGAAGGUCUCCGGAUUGUAAAGCACUUUAAGUUGGGAGGAAGGGCAGUAAGUUAAUACCUUGCUGUUUUGACGUUACCGACAGAAUAAGCACCGGCUAACUUCGUGCCAGCAGCCGCCGCGGUA
rnacentral:rRNA from 1 species